AGAGCGAACGCUGGCGGCAGGCCUAACACAUGCAAGUCGAACGGACUCUUCGGAGUUAGUGGCGGACGGGUGAGUAACACGUGGGAACGUGCCUUUAGGUUCGGAAUGCUCCUGGAAACGGGUGGUAAUACCGAAUGUGCCCUUCGGGGGAAAGAUUUAUCGCCUUUAGAGCGGCCCGCGUCUGAUUAGCUUGUUGGUGAGGUAAUGGCUCACCAAGGCUACGAUCAGUAGCUGGUCUGAGAGGAUGACCAGCCACAUUGGGACUGAGACACGGCCCAAACUCCUACGGGAGGCAGCAGUGGGGAAUCUUGCGCAAAUGGGCGAAAGCCGUGAACGCAGCCAUGCCGCGUGUAUGAAUGAAGGUCUAGGAUUAGUAAAAUACGUUUUCAACCGGUGAAGUAUAAGUAGACUUGUAGCCGGAAGAAAGAAGCCCCGGCUAAACUUCGUGCCAGCAGCCGC
rnacentral:rRNA from 1 species